AUCGCUCACGGAGAUGGCAUGCCUCCCGCAGAUCAUCGCAAACCGCUGGAUUGAUUACGUAGCUGACUUACCCGAUUGAGUCGCCUAAUUAAGCCAGCUAAUGAUGCCUACGCGUUC
rnacentral:ncRNA from 2 species